rnacentral:rRNA from 1 species
UUAAGUCCGUACGAGCGCAACCCUGUCCUUAGUUACCAGCACGUAUGGUGGGCACUCUAAGGAGACUGCCGGUGACAAACCGGAGGAAGGUGGGGAUGACGUCAAGUCAUCAUGGCCCUUACGGCCUGGGCUACACACGUGCUACAAUGGUCGGUACAAAGGGUUGCCAAGCCGCGAGGUGGAGCUAAUCCCAUAAAACCGAUCGUAGUCCGGAUCGCAGUCUGCAACUCGACUGCGUGAAGUCGGAAUCGCUAGUAAUCGUGAAUCAGAAUGCCACGGUGAAUACGUUCCCGGGCCUU